GGGGACAUUUACACUGAGGAGGCAUGCUGUGACUGAUAAUCUCUGGACUGCGCAGUGCAGUCAACUGGGUGAUUUCUUGCUGUGGCUCCUCUGAGAAGGGCAGGAUGCCUUUAGGAAACCAAUGUAAAGGACAAAAAGUGUGGACGGUGUCCAGAGAUGCAACGCCAUCCAGUCAGAAUCAUGCAUAAUGGUUCAGAUGAACAGAAGAUUUCUUCACCUGCAGCAAGUUAA